rnacentral:misc_RNA from 1 species
GAUGAAGAACGCAGCGAAAUGCGAUACGUAAUGUGAAUUGCAGAAUUCAGUGAAUCAUCGAAUCUUUGAACGCAUAUUGCGCUCUUUGGUAUUCCGAAGAGCAUGCUUGUUUGAGUAUCAGUAAACACCUCAACCUCCUUCUUUGUUAAAAAGAGGGUGUUGGACUUGAGCAAACCCAACGAAGCGAUUCAUUUCGUCUCGGCGGGUUGCUUGAAAUGCAGGUGCGGCUGUAACAAGAACAGACUGAGCUAAAAGCAUAUCUAUUGAUUGUCCCUGCCUUCUUGGGUGGAUCGAUCUCUAUUUGCUGCAGCUACUCUAAGGUCGUCUUGUAUGAGCUGACUGAUGCAGGAUUGACAAAAGCCUCUUCGCGAGGCCUUUUUCAAAACUCGAUCUCAAAUCAAGUAAGACUACCCGCUGAACUUAAGCAUAUCAAUAAGCGGAGGA